GAAAGAGGGACUAGAUGUUCUGAACUCGUUCCAUGUAGAGAGCCCCACUGUUGCGAAGGGGAGUUUUGAACAUGAAAGGAAUGUGAGUCGCUCGGUGAGACUCCUGCAGGGGACUGGGCCCAAGCUCCUGGCACUGCACGCAUGGUCUGAAACAGCUCCACGCAGGAGGACCAAGCUCAUUCGGGGGGAAGGGCGCUUGUUUCCUCCCCAACAUUUUAAAAAGGAAUUUUAUGAUUCAUCUUCAUUUUAACGGAUUCAUAGUGAACGAUGGCACCCCACAUCUAUUCAUGGCAUUUACACGUGUCAAAACCGGGAGCGAAGCGAUCUCCGAAGAGCAGAGACCGCCUUGCGUGACAGGGCCCAGAGAAGGGACCCACGCCAGCGUGGGGCACAACGUACUCUUGGAAAGGCCGCAACGUUAAAAGACCGUUGGAAAGGACGCAUGCGGCUUUGGAAAGGGGGAAAUGAAACAGGACAUGUCCAUGCCCAGGUAGAUAGAGUCUCCAGCAGAAAGCCCUUCAUUUCAAUAAAACUACCCGGCCCAGCUGGAACCUCGGUCCGGUGGAAAGACGAGCGACACCCGUGAGCACUCAGCUGCAAGGGGUAAUUUCUGGGGUUCCGCGCCCCCCCUGUAUUGGACCGGCCUUAAACGGCUUCUUGGGCAAAUCGCAGUUUACUGCACGGUAAGCGACGAGCAGAGGCGGCCGGGCCGUCGUCCUCCUGGAUGCCCUGCAGCCCCGGGCGCAGGUUUGCUGCAGUAUUGUUUUAUUGAAUUUCAAAAUGAGGAGCCCGCAGUCCACCCUAAAAGAGCAUGUGUCUCUCUAUUGGAUGUAUUUUGGCUACACACUGAGAAACACACAAGAUAUGUGCAGUGCAGUAUCUUUGUAAGAGGAAACUCCUACAAACUCUUCGGGCAAACAAGGAAGGUAGCAGAAGGAAGGAGCUGCCUGCCGCCAUGAUGAGCACAUAAAAACAGGAGUUUUGAGUGAGCCCAAGGACUUUUAUCACAGAGACCAGCCGUGGAGCAGUUUCCUGAGAGUGGCCCAGGAGAAGCACGGAAGGAAAUUUAUAUGAAAAUUCUGGUGUAUUUCCCAGAUGUUUAGCACGUCUAGACAGUUAGUGAACAGAGAUGAAUAUCUUUAGUCUUACUUAAUGUAACAAAAAUCUCCCCCUUUUAAAAUGUCUGCCCAGACUUCCAAAGUGGGCGUGACCUAGGACUGACAUUCAAAGUAUGACUCAAACAAUAGGAAGCUGAAAUGAAUCUGAUUUUUGUGUUUUGUUUUUAUAAGGAUAGCUGAUA